CGGGUAUUAAACUCAGGGGCACUUGACCACUGAGCCACAUCCCCAGCUCUAUUUUGUAUUUUAUUUAGAGACAGGGUCUCACUGAGUUGCUUAGCAGUUCACUCUUGCUGAGGCUGGGCUUUGAUCUUGCGAUUCUCCUGUCUCAGCCUCUGAGCUUCUGGGAUUACAGGCGUGUGGCCUUGUGCUGGGUGGUUUUGCUUAUUUUAUUUUUUAAAAAAUAAAGUUUUAAAUUGAGGCAGUAGUAUGGUGCGUGGAUAGUAACUAUAGUAAAUUUUCUAGUAUUUUUUUAUGUUAAAUAUUUUAAAUUAGCAAACGUCUUCAAUAAUAUCUAAAAUUUAAAAUUAAAUAAAAUAAGACAAAUUUAUUUAGAUAAAUUAUAACUAUUUAAAAAUUAAAAGGAUAAAAGAGAUAUGCUAAGCAAAUACUAACAAAAAAUUAGGAUACUUAGGACUUUGGUCCAUUUGAGUUGACUUUUGUAUGGGUGGGAGAGAGGUUUUUAAUUUUAUUCAGGCUAUAUGUAUAUCCAGUUUUCCCAACACCAUUUGUUAAAAGUGCUUUAUUUUUCCUCCAAUGAAUGUUUUUGUCACUUUUGCAAAAGUCAGAUGACUGUAGCUGUAUGUGUUUGCAUCUUCUGUUCUGCUCCUUUGGUCCAUGUAUCUGUUUUUGUUACUACGGCUUUGAAAUAUUAUUUGAAAUUGGGUAUUGUGAUGUCUUUGGAACUGUUAGAAGGAAAAAUGGAGAACACUUCAACAUACAGGUGCAGGUAAAGACUUCUGAAUAGGACCCAUACAACUCAGGAAAUAAGAGCAAGAAUCAAUAAAUAGGAGAGCAUCAAACUAAAAAGCUUCUGCACAGCAAAGGAAACAACAGUGAAGAGGUGAUCUACAGAAUGGGAGACACUCUUUGCAGCUACUCUUCCAACAGAAGAUUACUGUCCAGAAAACACAAAGAACUCAAAAACUCAACUCCAAAAAAACCCAAAACCAAAAGCAAAACCAAACCAAAACAACAACAACAACAACCCCCCCCCCCAAAACCUAAUCAAUAAAUGUGUAAAUGAACUGAACAGGUAAUUCUCAAAGAAGAAAUACAAAUGAAAAAGAAAUACAUGAAAAAAUGUUCAAUAUCUUUAGUCAUCAGGGAAAUGCAAAUCAAAACUAUACUGAGAUUCCAUCUUACUCAAGAAUACACAUGACAAUAAACACUGGUGAACCUGGGGAGGAGUGGGGGAUGGGGGAAAGAAUUUUUUUUGGGGGGGUUUGGGUACCAGGGAUUGAACUCAGGGGCACUUACCCACUGAGCCACAUUUCAAGACCUUUCUUUUACACUGUUGUUGUCAUUGUAAAUUGGUACAGCCACUAUGGAAACUGGUACAGAGGUUUCUCAACAAUCUAAAAUAGAUCUAUCAUAUGAUCUAGCUUUACCACUCCUUGAUGUUUAUCCAAAAGAAUUAAAGUCAGCAUACGUCAGAGGUGCAUGCAUACCCACGUAUAUCGGCGCAAUUCACAGUAGCCGGGUUAUGAAAUCAGCCUAGGUGCCCACCAGCAGAUGAAUGGAUAAAGAAAAUCUGUAUACAAAGGAGUUUUAUUCAGCCAUAAAGAGAAAAAUAAUUGUUAUUUUCAGGAAAAUGAACCAAAACAGAGACCAUGAAUUUGAGCAAAAUAAGUUAAACUCAGAAAACCCUCAUGUUUUCUCUCCUAAGCUUGAAGGAAAAAGCAGGGGGAAAGGAUUGCCAGAAAAGUAGAAGGGAGACCACUGGGUUAGGGGAAGCAGGUGGGGGGGAGGAGGAGGAGGGG
rnacentral:lncRNA from 1 species